CUCUAACCAUUCGCCUUGCUUCCUUGAGCUUCUGGAAAUAAAAUAUACCCCUUUCUGUCUCAUUGGAGAUAUUUUUGCCAGAAGCUCAAGGAAGCAAGGUGAAUGGUUAGCGU